rnacentral:misc_RNA from 1 species
UCGAGGAGCUCUUCGUCCUCGGU